rnacentral:rRNA from 1 species
AGCAGCCGCGGUAAUUCCAGCUCCAAUAGCGUAUAUUAAAGUUGUUGCAGUUAAAAAGCUCGUAGUUGAAUUUCGGGAUCAAUAUAUCGGUCAUGCUUAGGUAUGUACUGGUAUUAUUGAUUUCUCCCUUCUGAAGAACCAUGAUGUCAUUUAUUUGAUGUCGUGGGGAAUCAGGACUGUUACUUUGAAAAAUUAGAGUGUUUAAAGCAGGCUUUCGCUUGAAUACAUUAGCAUGGAAUAAUGAAAUAGGACGUUUGAUUCUAUUUUGUUGGUUUCUAGGAUCGACGUAAUGAUUAAUAGGGAUAGUUGGGGGCAUUAGUAUUCAAUUGUCAGAGGUGAAAUUCUUGGAUUUAUUGAAGACUAACUACUGCGAAAGCAUUUGCCAAGGAUGUUUUCAUUAAUCAAGAACGA